UGGGGAAUAUUGCACAAUGGGCGAAAGCCUGAUGCAGCAACGCCGCGUGAGUGAUGAAGGCCUUCGGGUUGUAAAGCCCUGUCUUUUGGGACGAUAAUGACGGUACCAAAGGAGGAAGCCACGGCUAACUACGUGCCAGCAGCCGCGGUAAUACGUAGGUGGCAAGCGUUGUCCGGAUUUACUGGGCGUAAAGGAUGCGUAGGCGGAUUUUUAAGUGAGAUGUGAAAACCCUAAGCUUAACUUGGGGACUGCAUUUCAUACUGGAAAUCUAGAGUGCGGGAGAGGAGAAUGGAAUUCCUAGUGUAGCGGUGAAAUGCGUAGAGAUUAGGAAGAACACCAGUGGCGAAGGCGAUUCUCUGGACCGUAACUGACGCUGAGGCAUGAAAGCGUGGGUAGCAAACAGGAUUAGAUACCCUGGUAGUCCACGCCGUAAACGAUGAGUACUAGGUGUAGGAGGUAUCGACCCCUUCUGUGCCGCAGUUAACACAAUAAGUGCUCCGCCUGGGAAGUACGAUCGCAAGAUUAAACUUAAUGAAUUGACGGGGUCAUAGCUGUUUCCU
rnacentral:rRNA from 1 species